GGGGCAGUAGCUCAGUGGUUAGAGCUGCGGACUCAUAAUCCGUAGGUCGUAGGUUCAAGUCCUACCUGCCCCA
rnacentral:tRNA from 3 species